rnacentral:rRNA from 1 species
AGUGAACGCUGGCGGUAGGCCUAACACAUGCAAGUCGAACGGCAGCACAGUAAGAGCUUGCACUUACGGGUGGCGAGUGGCGGACGGGUGAGGAAUACAUCGGAAUCUACUUUUUCGUGGGGGAUAACGUAGGGAAACUUACGCUAAUACCGCAUACGACCUACGGGUGAAAGCAGGGGAUCUUCGGACCUUGCGCGAUUGAAUGAGCCGAUGUCGGAUUAGCUAGUUGGCGGGGUAAAGGCCCACCAAGGCGACGAUCCGUAGCUGGUCUGAGAGGAUGAUCAGCCACACUGGAACUGAGACACGGUCCAGACUCCUACGGGAGGCAGCAGUGGGGAAUAUUGGACAAAGGGCGCAAGCCUGAUCCAGCCAUACCGCGUGGGUGAAGAAGGCCUUCGGGUUGUAAAGCCCUUUUGUUGGGAAAGAAAAGCAGCAGGUUAAUACCCCGCUGUUCUGACGGUACCCAAAGAAUAAGCACCGGCUAACUUCGUG